UCGAACAACGGCGACGAGAUAAUAUAAACAACAAGAUCAAAGAACUAGGCACACUUUUACCACCAACAAUACACCCAAAAAUGAAAGAGUGUAAAGGAAGUAUUUUGAAAGCAUCAGUGGAAUAUGUAAAGGAGUUACAGAAAACCAGAGAAAAACUCAUCCGAGUCGAAAAGAAAACGAAAGCAAUGAAAGCUAGAAACCAGGAAAUGUUGAUGAAAAUAUUUCAACUCGAACUGAAGAUUAAAUUAUAUCAAUUAACGUGCGAUGAUUGAGAAACGAC